AGCGUUUGGGUGGUUUUUCUUUGAGUUGAGCUGGUGGACAAAGACUUAAAAGGCAGGCGCUGAACAAAUGCUCUUUUGUAACCCAGGAUUCCUGGUUCUGUUUGCAUUUUGGUAGGUACAAGAAGGAAUACC